rnacentral:misc_RNA from 1 species
AGGCAGAUACGGAUUUGUAUAGUCCCUGCAAAAUUGGAUAAACAAAACCACGGAUAUUAGGAAGUGCAGAAGGUGCUAUUGAUAAUACAUGAGUAAGCAUGCAAAGUUUAACAGGCAUAAAUUAGGAUAGACAAAUUUUUUUUUUUUUUUUUUUAAAAGCAAUGAAAUUAUCAUAUUAUGUGAGGGAACUGUCAAGAGUUGGAUGUUUUCCUCUACGCAUUCUGCUGCUAGGUAUAUGGUGUGAUAAGCAAACAAAGAGAAAAGUGUCUUGUAUCAAC